UCACCACUGCACCAAGCGACAGGCGUCUGAAGGAGACGUUCCCUCAUGUUGCUCGAAUGCGUAACAGCACUUCCAAAUCCUUCAUUAAAUAACCAUCUAGCUAUCAAGGUCGUAGAAGAGAAUGAGCUGGGGUGCUCAAUCGAUCAGGUGAGAGACGUUCCAGGGGAUGCCCAGCACUGCUGAGGAGACCACUUACACCCAAAUGUGAAGACGACAUGAGGAGGGCCGGCCAUGUCGACUUUGGCCUCCUCCACCUCAUCUGCAAUAUCGACCCCAAUCCUUCCCUAUGCCUCUAUCUACAGAAAAUGUCUAUCCUGCUAAAGCUCUGCUUUACUACUGAGAAGGAUGGGAGAUGUUGAAGACAAGCACAACAAGCCUGCUGCAGCCCACAUGGAACUUGAGUGACAGAUGUGCUGUUUGUCCUGUAAGGUACCAAGAAGACAGACUUCCUAAAUUCCUGAACUGGCCAGGGACAAGCAGAACCUAAGCAUGACACAUGGCCAUGUGGAGCAAGAGGAAAGGGCCACGGCCUGCUUGGAUCUGACCCUGGAGGGGAAACAGCUGUGGAGUGGAGAGCAUCCGAGUCACCAUUCCCUGACUCUCAGAAGGCAGCUGACUAGCUAUGACUCAAGCUUUGAAGCCAGAAGCAUGCACAGUGACACAGUGACCUAUUUCAGAGAGCCUACAGCACGCCAAGUCCUACAAGACAACCAUUCAAAGGAAAGCAAGUCAGAGCAAAUUAACAACAGGUCACCCGCAAAAAAUGUAAGUACAGGAACUUCUACCAUUGUUCUCUGUGGUCAGGAGCGAGUCAAGACCCACAAAUAAGGCAGUCACAUGACCUGAUCAAAAUGGCAAACUGAAAUCAAAGGUAGGACCAGCAGUGGAUAUACAUCUCGUCUCACUCUGCCUUCCCCCAGAAGAUCUGAUAGCACUCAAAGCCAGAAGAGGAUGAGCUGAUCUGUGCCUCCACCCCAAAGAAUGAAAAUUAAAGUGGAUACUCCAAACAUCCAUUUCCUGUGAUCUGUAGUAGGAGGUUUCCAAAAUGUCCCUCUGUAGCUAAUUCUACUGUUAAUUUUCCUCUCCUCUUAGUAUCUAAGUCAAAGCUCUUGACUUUGAUUAAAACUGGGUCAUGCACAUGCACACCUUAAUCCUCACCACAGGGGCACAAAGAUAGGUUUCCAUCAGAAUGGAAGCCUUUAUAUAUUUAUAUACAAGUCAAAGGAGAUUAUUUAGUGUCCAUUCUUCAAAGUAUCAAAAACCAAUAAUCAGAAGCCAAAAUAGAAGGUACAUGACCGUCUACAACACAAGAAUCCUUACAUACAGGAAAAGCCAUAAUGAUUCAAGAAUAAAAAGAUGAAUACAAUAGGUACAUCAACACAAGAGGAAAGCAGAAAUAUAGAAAAGAAAGAACAAUUAGUAAACAUGUAUGGGAAGCUAACAAAUCAAAGUAAUAGAUUAAACUCGUAACUAUAAUUGAUAACGCAAUUCUAACAUAUUAGACACCAGUUUCCCUUUAUUAAACUGAUGUAUAUUUUAUACAAGUCUCAGUGUUGAUAAGCUUGAGCAAACAAACUCUUGAUUUUGCUGUAGAUGGGUUUAGGGUCCACGUUACUGGAGCCCAGCCUCCUUGGGCAAAUCUCAAGCAUCUUGUAUCCCAACAUCCUGGUUUGCAUCCCCUAAGGGCUCCUUAGUUCAGUGGGUUGUGAUUGAUUAUCUCAGUACUUCAGCUCCCAGUCAGCAGAACUCUCCAGUGUUCUGUGACCCAAAUCCAGCAACUGUUUUCUUCCUUCCCAAACCGUCAAGGUAAUGGAAAGGAUGUUCCAAACUGACAUGCUGUGUUGCAAUACUUCUUCCCUGAAAACUUUUGUUCUUGCAAGAGUAAAGGGAAGAGCAAAUAAAUUAUCAGGUUGCAAAGCGGAUCUAAGCAUUAAACACCUGGGACCAGUCCAUCAUUCUCAGUUCCGUGGUUUUCUGGGUUUCGGUUCUGUUGAUGUUGCCUGGGAAUGGAUGGUUUUGUCAGGCUGUGAGAAAAGGUGGUAUGGCCACACUUCUUACUGAUAAAUUACUCCUGUUUCACACGAUGGAGAUGGAGUCAAACAUAAACAUCUCCCUUGUCUCUUGGCAGGAACCAUUUGAGUAUACCUUUAUACCUUCCACGGUUAUUUAUUUAGUUCUUCCUGUAUGGCAGGCACUGUUCAGGGGGAUGAGAUAGAAUCAUGACAAAGUCCAAGUGUCCACCCUUCUGGAGCUCACAUUCUUGUGGGUUUUGAAAAAAAAAAAGCAGAUCGUAAACACUACAACACAAACAUCUAUCGUAACAAAGAGUGACAAAGUAGGGAAUCUUCAGAAAGAAGAAAGGACACACAGUGGGCGGUGGUGGCACACACCUUUAAUCCCAGCACUCGGGAGGCAGAGGCAGGCGGAUCUCUGUGAGUUCGAGGCCAACCUGGUCUACAGAGCGAGAUCCAGGACAGGCUCCAAAACUACACAGAGAAACCCUGUC